GACAGAGGGUGCAAACGUUGUUCGGAAUUACUGGGCGUAAAGCGCGUGUAGGCAGCUCGGAAAGUCGGGUGUGAAAGCCCUGGGCUUAACCUAGGAAGUGCACUCGAAACUUCCGAGCUUGAGUUCUGGAGAGGAAGGCGGAAUUCUCGGUGUAGAGGUGAAAUUCGUAGAUAUCGGGAGGAACACCAGUGGCGAAGGCGGCGACCUGGGCCAAUAUUGACGCUGAGGUGCGAAAGCGUGGGGAGCAAACAGG
rnacentral:rRNA from 1 species